rnacentral:rRNA from 1 species
CGAACGGCUGAGUAACACGUGGGCAACCUGCCCUUUGCACUGGGAUAGCCUCGGGAAACCGAGGUUAAUACCGGAUACUCCAUAUCCAUCGCAUGAUAGAUAUGGGAAAGCUCCGGCGGCAAAGGAUGGGCCCGCGGCCUGUUAGCUAGUUGGUGGGGUAGUGGCCUACCAAGGCAAUGAUGGGUAGCCGGGUUGAGAGACCGACCGGCCAGAUUGGGACUGAGACACGGCCCAGACUCCUACGGGAGGCAGCAGCC